UCAACGGAAGCAGCUCAGUUUCUCAGAAAGAUCAUUGACCAAGCCCCGGAGAUUCGAAUUCUAGUUGUGGCUCUACUCCUAGUUGGCUCUGUGACUUUGGCCUGCUCUUUGUUCCUUGUCCUACCCUGACCACUUGGAUAAGAACCUGUGCACUUCCAAGGAAUACAAGCCCUUCCCCAGCCCAAAGUGCACAGAGGUGCACUGUCAAUGAUCAGCCAGCUCGGUCUCCUCACUGGCAUGAUCUGUGCUGACUGAUGAUUGCUAAAUUCAUAAUAUGAAAGAAGAAUUGUUUUAAAAGGAGCCCCAGGCACCAUCUAGAUUCUAGGAAGAGAGUUGCUCCUUUCUCUGACAGGUAAUGCUUAUCUGUAAGCCCAAGGAACUUGAGGAAGGGGAUGGAGAGUACCAAGGGGGAUGCUGAUGAGGGUUAGAAAAAUAGGAGGAACAGAGCACUCUAGGAUACUCACACCACUAUUCUUCAGAUGGUGUCUACACAAUACCACGAGAAGCCAAAAAGUGAUUUAUUUCAUCAGUGAGAACAAACAUCCUGGUCCAGUGAAUAAAUGAUUACAGAUCUCUUUCCGGAAGUUUUGAAAUAUUAUAGGACCUGAUGUGAUCACCACUAUAUCAUCUGCAAAAAGGAGCUUUUGGAGGACCUCACCAUACACUUGGACUCUGUGCUGGAUCUUUCCUAUCACAGUGGCAAAUAAAAAAACCCAGAAAAACUUACAUGAACUGAUGCAAA